AAGCUCAACGCCGUCAGCAAAGAAAACAUUAACCUCUCAUACAGAGACUGUAACUCCAGAGGAGUCCAGCGUGAUGACAGGAAGCUCAACGCCGUCUCUAAAGAAAACAUCGGCCUCUCAUACAGGUGAAGGAGGUUCAGUUUCUGAGGAGGGAGGAGCUCAGGACG